rnacentral:rRNA from 1 species
UACGUAGGGUGCAAGGCGUUGUCCGGAAUUAUUGGGCGUAAAGAGCUCGUAGGCGGUUCGUCGCGUCGGCUGUGAAAUCCCGAGGCUCAACCUCGGGUCUGCAGUCGAUACGGGCGGACUGGAGUUCGGCAGGGGAGACUGGAAUUCCUGGUGUAGCGGUGAAAUGCGCAGAUAUCAGGAGGAACACCGGUGGCGAAGGCGGGUCUCUGGGCCGAUACUGACGCUGAGGAGCGAAAGCGUGGGGAGCGAACAGG